UACAGAGGUCUCAAGCGUUGUUCGGAUUCAUUGGGCGUAAAGGGUGCGUAGGCGGCCAACUAAGUCGGAUGUGAAAUCCCCAGGCUUAACCGGGGAACUGCGUCUGAUACUGGAUGGCUUGAGUUCGGGAGAGGGAUGCGGAAUUCCAGGUGUAGCGGUGAAAUGCGUAGAUAUCUGGAGGAACACCGGUGGCGAAGGCGGCAUCCUGGACCGACACUGACACUGAGGAGCGAAAGCCAGGGGAGCAAACGGG
rnacentral:rRNA from 1 species